rnacentral:piRNA from 2 species
UACUUCCUCCUUUUUAUACAGCCUGGGA